GUACUACUCCCUCCAUCCCAAAAUUCUUGUCUUAAAUUUGUCUAAAUACAGAUGUAUCAAUUCACGUUUUAGUAUUAGAUGCAUCCGUAUCUAGACAAAUGUAAGACAAGAAUUUUGUGAUGGAGGGAGUACUAC
rfam:Triticum urartu cultivar G1812 contig353626, whole genome shotgun sequence.